UACGGAGGGUGCAAGCGUUUAUCCGGAUUCACUGGGUUUAAAGGGUGCGUAGGUGGGCAGGUAAGUCAGUGGUGAAAUCUCCGGGCUUAACCCGGAACUGCCGUUGAUACUAUCUGUCUUGAAUGUAGUGGAGGUGAGCGGAAUAUGUCAUGUAGCGGUGAAAUGCUUAGAUAUGACAUAGAACACCCAUUGCGAAGGCAGCUCGCUACACUAUUAUUGACACUGAGGCACGAAAGCGUGGGGGAUCAAACAGG
rnacentral:rRNA from 1 species